GGCAGGGGAAUGGGUCGAGCCCUGCAUCAUCCACCGAGCCAGGGCUGUAGGUUGGUGCCCUGCUCUUUGAGAGCUGACUCUGUCCUUCGGGGGCGAAUCACUCGUAGGGCUCGGUUCGGUGACUUCCCGGGUCGCCCCCUUCCCAGCUACAAACGCUGCAUUUUCGAGGGGUGUGACAGAAAGAGCAGCGGCGGAGACUGCUAGAGGAGGGAUUUCAGUCGGCCUUUAACCACCAGUUAGUGGUUUGUAAAAUCAGUUUAGCUGGUUUCUACCUGGAAAGGAUGCAGUUUUUGUUUUAUAUGAGGGAGAGUAGGAAAUUUCAGGGACAUCUCGGGUAAUCAGAAUGACAACAACAGCAAUUACCACAACAACAACAAAAUAAAAAGCCUGAUCCUCCUCUACUGCAUUACUGGUCUCAAAUUACAGAACACCAGCUACCUAGUCAAUUGCUGGAGCCAGAAACUCACUGAUUUGAGGGUGGAUACAAAUGGCAACUUGAACUCUCAGGUGUAACCUAUCCACAGAGAAAACACUGAUGGGCCUUCCUUGUCACAUGGUGAUGGUAACUGGAAUUACAGAAAUGGGGUCUAGGAGAAAAUAAUUCUGGUCACUGGACAUUGGAAGUCCAAAAUCAAGGUGUUCCAGGGCUGUAUUCCUCCUGGAUGCUCUAGAGAAGAAUCUAUUCCUUACCCUUUCCUACUUCUGUAGACCACAUACAUUCCUUGGCUCAUAGGCCCCCUUUCAGCAAUGGCAUCACUUUGACCUCGACUUCCAUAUCUCAUCUUCUCUCUCACUCUGAUCCUCCUGCCUCCCUCUUUGUGAGGGCCUUUGUGAUUACAUUGGACCCACUCAAAUAAUCCAGGAUAAUGACCCCAUUUCAAAAUUCUUAAAUUCUUAACCUAAUCAUAUCUGUAAAUUCUCUUUUACCAUGUAAGGUAAGAGGUUCUCGGGAUUAGGAUGUGGAUGUCUCUGUGGGACAAGGGGGCAUUAUUUAGCCUGCCACAGGAAGCAACUAGAGAAGGGGAUUGAAGAGUCUUCCAGACAAUGGAAACAUGGGGAAAAGCAUAAAAGAAAUCUAGAUGUGGGGAAUUUCAGAACUUUAUACUAAAGUGUCCUUGGCUAUAAAAUAAUAUAUAAAUAAAAUAAUAGUGUUUACCCCACCUCCUCAUAUAGGAUGAGAUAAUGCAUGUAAAGCUCUAAAACCAGUGUGUUCAUUCUGUGCUCUUGCAUAAUGUUAGUCACGGUGAUGAUGAGUAAAGGAGGAGGAAAUCUACAAAAGAGGCUAAAAUAGUAAGCAGAGACCAGCAGUUUUGUUGAAUUAACCUGAGAGAGAUUCACUCAAGAACUUUAAGCAGAGGGAUGCCUGGGUGGCUCAGUCAGUCAAGCAUCUGCCUUCAGCUCAG